GACAGAGGAGCCAAGCGUUGUCCGGAUUGACUGGGCGUAAAGCGCACGCAGGCGGAACGGCGCGUGGGGUGUGAAAGCUGGCGGCUUAACUGCCAGUCGCCAUCCCAUACGGCCAUUCUGGAGCCUUGCAGGGGGCAGUGGAAUUGCCGGUGUAGUGGUGAAAUGCGUAGAGAUCGGCAGGAACACCCAAGGGGAAACCAGCUGCCUGGGCAAGCGCUGACGCUGAGGUGCGAGAGCGUGGGGAGCGAACCGG
rnacentral:rRNA from 1 species